rnacentral:rRNA from 1 species
GAUGAACGCUGGCGGCGUGCCUAAUACAUGCAAGUCGAGCGAACAGACGAGGAGCUUGCUCCUCUGACGUUAGCGGCGGACGGGUGAGUAACACGUGGAUCACCUACCUAUAAGACUGGGAUAACUUCGGGAAACCGGAGCUAAUCCCGGAGAAUAUAUUGAACCGCAGGGUUCAAUAGUGAAAGACGGUUUUGCUGUCACUUAUAGAUGUAUCCGCGCCGCAUUAGCUAGUAGGUAAGGUAACGGCUUACGAAGGCAACGAUGCGUAGCCGACGUGAGGGGGUGAUCGGCCACACGGGAACUGAGACACGGUCCAGAGUCCUACGGGAGGCAGCAGUAGGGAAUGUUCCGCAAUGGGCGAAAGCCUGACGGAGCAACGCCGCGUGAGUGAUGAAGGUCUUCGGAUCGUAAAACUCUGUUAUUAGGGAAGAACAAAUGUGUAAGUAACUAUGCACGUCUUGACGGUACCUAAUCAGAAAGCCACGGCUAACUACGUG